rnacentral:misc_RNA from 1 species
AAGUCGUAACAAGGUUUCCGUAGGUGAACCUGCGGAAGGAUCAUUAUUGAAUUCACUGGUCGGGUUGUUGCUGGUUCCGAAAGGUUCAUGUGCACACCUGGCUUUUGACUCCUUUCCACCUGUGCACUUUUGUAGUCAGGCUUUAACUGCCAGCCAGUGUCUAAGUAUGCCUUUGCUUGCAGAGGAUUUGGGGUUUGGAUCCUUUUGGGUCCUUUCUCUGAGGCGCUUGGAGGGCUCGGCUUGACUACGUUUUCAUUUACACUAUUGUAUGUUCAGAAAGUCAUGUUUACUGGUCUUUAGACCUUUAAUCUUACACAACUAUUGGCAACGGAUCUCUUGGCUCAC